UAGAAGACAUCUAGUCCCACCCCUGGAACCUAGGGAGAUGCAUUGACAUGCUCAAGGUCAUGCAGGGAGUCAGUGUUAAAGGGAAAGCUGGGAGUCAUUUGGAGUUCUGGCAGUUUCCUGAAAGCAACCCAGCUGAUUCCUUUCACAUUCAGCUCUGGCCCAACUUGUCGUCCAUCACAUUUGUGAAACAUCCCCAGAAGACAGUGCAGUGCCAGGGCAUUGAUGAUGAGUGAGUGAAUGAAUCCAUGACUGUGGGUUCUGCCUCUGACACUUCAGAAGAUGAUGGGUGAGUGGCAGGGGUGAACCAGGAUGAACAUGGAAGAAUUCUUCUUUGGGACUGAGAGGGAAUCCACGAGGCUGCACUGCCCUCUGGGGGUGGAUCACUCACUUGGGUAUCUGCUCAGUGGGGACUUCCUUUGCUAAGGCUGUCCAUGGGCCUCUGUACAAUCUUUCUCUCUGGGGGAUUUCAGGUGAGGUUUCAGAAAGGAGAUGGCUGGGGAGAUCAUCCUCGCAAGACGCUCAGAGUAUCUGGAC